rnacentral:rRNA from 1 species
AGCUCCAAUAGCGUAUAUUAUUGAUGUUGCAGUUGAAACGUUCGUAGUCGAACUUUAUCUGCUUAGGUAUUGCGUCAUCGAUGAUGUUGCAAUAUUUUCAGCAGAGAUUGUGCAAGAGGUGUUGCACGUUUCGUGUAAUGGCUUUUGCAUCUUACUUUGAGUGAAUCGGCGUGUUCCACGCAGGCAUGUGCCUUGAACGAUUUACCAUAGCAUAAUCAGAGUAUGAAGGCACUCCCUUGUUUGUUCGGGGGUGUUUUCUAUACUGAUAAGAACGGUUGAGGGCAUUCGUAUUCAGCUGCCAGAGGUGAAAUUCUUUGAUUAGUUGAGGACGAACUAUUGCGAAAGCAUCUGCCAAGGACGUUUCUU